UACAGAGGGGGCAAGCGUUGUUCGGAAUUACUGGGCGUAAAGGGCGCGUAGGCGGCCUGUUAAGUCGAACGUGAAAUCCCCGGGCUCAACCCGGGAACUGCGUCCGAUACUGGCAGACUAGAGUUCGGCAGGGGAGACUGGAAUUCCUGGUGUAGCGGUGAAAUGCGCAGAUAUCAGGAGGAACACCGGUGGCGAAGGCGGGUCUCUGGGCCGAUACUGACGCUGAGGAGCGAAAGCGUGGGGAGCGAACAGG
rnacentral:rRNA from 1 species